UUCCUUCCUUCAGUAUCAAUCAGCGCUCAGGAAGGCGCAUGCGUCCUGGGACAGUGACCUUUGACCUGGAGACGACCGCUUCUCUUCCCCCUCCCUUGUUGUGAAGAUGGCGCUGUCCAGGGUGUGCUGCGCUCGCGCUGCUCUGUGGGGUUCGGCUGCCGCCCCGGGACCUAUUGUCGCCCGUAGGCUACAACUUGGUCGCCCCGGCCUUGCUUGGGGAGCCCUUCGGUCUUCAAAGCUUCACCUUUCUCCAAAGGCAGAUAUGAAGAGCUUGAUCUCUUAUGUGGUGGCCAAGACAAAAGCGAUGAAUGGGAAAUACCAUCGUUUCUUGGGUCGUCAUUUUCCCCGCUUCUAUGUCCUGUACACAAUCUUCAUGAAAGGAUUACAGAUGUUUUGGGCUGAUGCCAAAAAGGCUAGAAGAAUAAAGACAAAUAUGUGGAAGCACAAUAUAAAGUUUCAUCAACUUCCAUACCGGGAGAUGGAGCAUUUGAGACAGUUCCGUCAAGAUGUCAGCAAGUGUCUUUUCUUAGGUAUUAUUUCCAUUCCGCCCUUUGCCAACUACCUGGUCUUCUUGCUAAUGUACUUAUUUCCUAGGCAACUACUGAUCAAACAUUUUUGGACCCCCAAACAACAAAUUGAUUUCUUAGAUAUCUAUCAUGCUCUCCGGAAGCAGUCCCACUCAGAAAUCAUUAGUUAUUUAGAAAGCGUCAUCCCUCUCGUUUCUGACGCAGGGCUCCGGUGGCAUCUGACGGAACUAUGCACCAAGAUACAGAAUGGUACCCACCCAGCAGCACAAGAUGUCCUGGCUCUCAGAGAGUGUUUCCGUAACCAUCCUCUGGGCAUAAACCAGCUCCAGGCUUUGCAACUGAAAGCCUUGAGCCGGGCCAUGCUUCUCACACCUUACCUCCCUCCUCCGUGGUUGAGACGCCGUUUGAAGGCUCAUACUACUGUGAUUCACCAGCUGGACAGGGCUUUGGCAAAGCUGGGGAUUGGCCAGCUCACUGCUCAGGAAGUGAAAUCGGCUUGUUAUCUCCGCGGCCUGAAUUCUACCCAUAUUGCUGAAGACAGAUGUCGAACUUGGCUGGGGGAAUGGCUACAAAUUUCGUGCAGCGUGAAAGUUCCUACACACACGGGCCGCUCGAAGGCAGACUUUGCCAGCCAAACCACUAACGCUGAUGGUGUUUGCAGAAACCGAGCUGUCCCUCCUGCUGCACAACGUGGUCCUGCUUUCCACGAACUACCUUGGGACGCGGCGCUGAGUGAAGCGUGGAACGGGCGGCGCAGUCCUGCAGUCUCGUCGUACAGCAGCGCGGGACCAACAGCACUUGUCUGCAGUCCGUGUGCGCCGUGAGGCGUGCAGGGCCGAGGAGAGGUGCCAUGGCUUCGCAGCCACUACCUGUGGGAACUACAGACAUUCCGCUCACAGCUCAAACUACAGCCCUUCUCAAGGGUGGCCCCUGCAAGCUGUCACGUAUCUCACAGAGCUUCUGAUGGGAUGGAAAGUUUGAAGAAACUCAUUUGAUCUCCUGGUGGACAUUUUAAGGUGGCACUAGAACCAGAGAGGAAGGGACGACACACAAAGGGCUGAGAGAGCAGCGGCAGGACUUGCUCCAGCUGGGGAGGGACACACGGGCAGAUGAGGCAGGACCGCAGGCUCCUGGCGCUCCAGAGAGAACAUGCCGCACGUCCAUCGCAGCACGUCCCCAUUAUCAGCGUUCUCCAAACUGACCUAAUUAGUUUUAUAUACAGAACGGGAGAAGCAUCCCUUCUCUUAACAAGUAACUGGCCUGCCAAGACAAAGACUAACACAUCAUUCUUUUGAAUAUUUCUUUAAUAUUACAUUUAAAUAUUCUCUUUAAAUACGGCAUUAUCACAAUGUAAAGAACCUAAAGGGGGAAAAAAUUGUUUUCAGAGAACCAGACAAGCUUUGGAUUCACAUUGAAAAUACUACCUGUGCAUACAGUAUGUGAAAGGGACAGUAAGCUUCAUUUCUUUUAUCUAGGCCUAGACUGAGUGGGACUGAAGCCGUCCAGUCCACUUCUACAGCCAGAGGCCCACCUUCCCUAGCAACCAUGAGCUGUAAUUUUGUCCAAUUCAGGUAGCACCAGAAAUGAGACAGACUAGGUUGUAGAAAACGCCCUUUGCUUGACAAGAGUUAAUGCUAAAUGCUAAUAUUUAGCACUCGGAAGUUUGGGGUUAGUGUGUCAGAAUUGUAAAGAAGGGAUGGGCCGGACGGAUGCUGGGGUUUUGCAGAAAUAUCAUAUAUCUUGUGGGUUGACAAUGAGUUUAAUAAUCACAAACUUGAAUUCAUUUGAUCCCAAAGGCUGAUGUUUUUCUUACUGAGCAGCUGGAAUCUGCCCACUAAACUGAGUUGGAGCUUCCUAAGGAGAAAAUUUCUAAGCUUCCUCCUCUUUCCAACAAAUUUUUAAAAACAGUUUUUUCUCCACGGAGCCAAAUUCUGAGAGAAACUUCACAGUCGUGUCUGAGUCCCCAUCUAAGGAGGGGGACAGCAGCUCAGUUUGGAAGAGCAUCUAAGUCUCAGGUACUUGAGAACCUCAGCUCUGUCUUGUGAGGCUGGGGGAUGGGGAGAAACACGGACACACGCCCCCAAUUAAGAACGCUCUUCCAACAUAAAACCAAACAAAAACAGGAAUGGACAGGAAAGGCGGAAUGGGUUAAAACAUGUAGCUGUAUUAAUUACAAAGUCCUUCAGGCUCAGAUUGUGUAGGUGAAAGGCUGCUGACAAAUACUCAAAGGUUGCUUUAAGACACCAGAGCCCUAACUAUCUCACAAGGAAAGGGUUUAUGAGCAAACAAAGAUGAACAGUUAUCUCCCCAACCACAGGAAAGUUUGUACUCUUCAUUCCUGGGUAGUAAAUCAUACCGGAAGUGAAACAUGGUGUCUAGGACACUAGAAAAUAGUGUUUUGCUCCCUACUGUGUCCAUUUUAAAAGAGGCAAAGAUAAACUCUGACAAUAAAAAGAAAUCAGUGGAGUUGAGUGAAGCAGACCUUGGAACAUACGCUGGACUAAGAGGAACAGGAACCACUGACAGAGGGAAGAACAGAAUCUGAGUCCCAUCCUAUACAUUUCCAAGGUUACAAUCAGAUCCUGAAUCCUGUGCAACCUGGGAGUUGUGUGUGGCAUUUUAAGAAUUGGUUUGGCUUCCAAUCUAUGUAUCAAGACAGAGAAGGUUCAGUAAACAUGUGCAGUUCUUGGGGCUGACCUGGACUAGUGUUAAGAACUCCAACCCUGUAUACAUCCAAGCAGGGUCACGAGGGCAGAUACAGAAAAAAAUAAAAACUAGCAGGUGUCCUUAGACUGCCACACCUUCCAUCCCACUUAAAGCUCAGAUCUGGGGGGCACCGUGAAAAAGCAAACGUGACACAGAUCGAGUCAUCUCUCCAGACAGCGGCUGGUCCUGCGGCCGCCUCCGGACAGACCUCACGCUCUGUAUGGGCUUCUGUGAGGGGCGAGCUUCGCCUGAAGCUGCCCAGCACAGCCAGUGAUGGACACAGGCGGAAGCCUCGGGCUCUUUACACCACAUCCCCAGCCAGGCUCGCUCUUUUUCUUCAAAGGAAAAAUGGAGGAAAAGAAGACAGACUACCUAAACUCUAGUACCUAAGAGCAUGUGAAGGAAAUACAGUCAUUCAAGUUACAGACCAGGGAUCCCCAGUGUGGGGAGCUGGUCAGAGAACACCAAAUGUCAAAUAUUAACUUCUUUACCAAAUGGGGGUCAGAGGAAGGCAGGUGACAUUUUUAGAAAUCCUGGAGGUUUUGUAUAGAAGCAGAGACCCUUCUACCCCUCCUCUCUAGAUCCUGCCUGGCCACCUUUGCAACUGCGUGACGACACCAAGACGGAGCACGGAAUAACCAGAGAGAAGUGAGCUUGCACCCUCCCCACGGCCAGGACAGCCGGGGCUUUGCCCUGCUGUUCAGAUUCGUGUGUUCCGGUCCCUACAUGAAGAACAGCCGCUUGAGCUACCCAGCGCCUCCUGUGUGCUCCUACCUCUGUUCUGACAGCCCAGAAAGCUCAGUACUGGGCACCGCGCGGCCGCCUGUAAGACUGUCUCCAGGUCAAGCUGGAGCUGGUCUCCUUGGUACUGUUUCCCUUUUUAAAAAUACUUGUACAAACAAGCCUUUCCCACCCACUCCCCGAAAGAUCCCAAUAAAAUAACAUGGGAGCAGCA